AAGUCAAAAAGUGAAGAUAAAAGGAAGAAGCAGCGGCUGGUCGGGAAAACAGAAGAGAAAAACAGAGGAGAAGAAAAGGAAAAAGGAGAGGAGAAAGGGAAGAAGAGAAAGGGAGGGUUUGUGCGCGCGGGUCCUCGCCGAGCCGUUCCGACUAAGUAACGCAACGACUAGAUUUUGGAACCGUCGGCUCAAGUAUCACAUAUGGGUUAGUUGUGGAUUACCAGGUUCUUCUGCUGGCCGCAAGUAGGGCGUGAGCGGGCGUUAGUCGGAGGAUUUCUUUUUGAUUGUGGGAUUUUGGAAAGCUCUGAUGUUUUCGAGUCUUGUUUAAGUUUAGGCUGCGUCCUUUGGGUGAAAGGACGGCCGUGUUACGAUCCCGUUUUGGUUGUAUUCGGGGUGUGACAU